rnacentral:rRNA from 1 species
UGGCGGCAUGCCUAACACAUGCAAGUCGAACGAACCCUUCGGGGUUAGUGGCGCACGGGUGCGUAACGCGUGGGAAUCUGCCCUUGGGUUCGGAAUAACAGUUAGAAAUGACUGCUAAUACCGGAUGAAGUCUUCGGACCAAAGAUUUAUCGCCCAGGGAUGAGCCCGCGUAGGAUUAGGUAGUUGGUGGGGUAAAGGCCUACCAAGCCGACGAUCCUUAGCUGGUCUGAGAGGAUGAUCAGCCACACUGGGACUGAGACACGGCCCAGACUCCUACGGGAGGCAGCAGUGGGGAAUAUUGGACAAUGGGGGAAACCCUGAUCCAGCAAUGCCGCGUGAGUGAUGAAGGCCUUCGGGUCGUAAAGCUCUUUUACCAGGGAUGAUAAUGACAGUACCUGGAGAAUAAGCUCCGGCUACUCCGUGCCAGCAGCCGCGGUAAU